CCUUGACAGGCUUGCUCUCCAAUGAGAAGCCUCGGAAAAGUGUUGCGUGGAGGCGGAGCUAUGUGGAGCAGACAUGACGGCGCCUGCUCAAAGGCCUUGGACACUGGGAGACUAGGUCAACCGAACCCCGCCUCCAGCGCUAUGGAAAAGUGCUGACACGUUAUGCUCCUUACCUCAUCUCGGCUACUAGAAAGUCUUGGGCCCCCGCCUAAGACGUUGGGCCACUCUCUUUUCUCUAUCUCUGUGUCUUGUGUCUUUUAUUUCUAGUUUCUCCUCUCCACACCAGCAGAGAGGGGCUCAAAAGACCCUGUAGGGCUGGACCCUACACCAAGUAGCUGGGAUUACAGGCGCCCACCACCAUGCCUGGCUAAUUUUGUGUUUUCAGUAGAAUCAGGGUUUUGCCAUGUUGGCCAGGCUGGUCUCAAACUCCUGAACUCAGGUGAUCCACCUGCCUCAGCCUCCCAAAGUGCUGGGAUUACAGGCAUGAACCACCACGCCCAACCACCCUUGCCCUUCUUAAACUCCUCUCUUCUCUGAGAGUCCUUCCUCCUCUAAGGCCCCUUCCCCAGCCCCAGCCUCUGGGUCCCAUUACUUGGAAUAGGGCCAAGGGCCUGGGUGAAAUGGGGAAGCAGGGCACCCCUGUAAAGAGGAAAGCUGUCAUGGGGGCUGAAGUGGUGUCUGGGCCUUGUCCUCAUUUGCUGUCCCUGGGCUGGGCAGGUGGGAACGGAUUUGGGGCCAGGACCUGGUUAAGCUGUCGGAUUAGACAUGGAGGCUCUUAAUCCCCUCACUGACCUUUACGAGUGGCCAAGGCCCUGCCCUUCUCAGUGGAAAACCAGGCUGGGCUUCCCUGCUCCCACCCUCCUUCCAAACAAAACCCCCUUCGUGCCCCUUCACUUCCAACUUAACAUCGUUUCCCAACACUGCAUUUCCAUGGCCCCCUGCCCCCAUCCCUUCCUACCCCAGACACCUGAGCUGGAAGGAAAGCCAGCUAAUUAAUUCCAUCCGGUUAUUACAUGGGGAUUCUGAAGGAUAAAGGGAGAUGGAGAAGCCGGAGCGGGCACCUGGGUUGAUGCAGCACUUGUGAAGGCUGAAUGCCAGUGACGGUGACUGCCCUCAGUCCAGAAUACAGGCUGGGAACACGUCCUCCUCCCUGUCACUGACUGCCUCUGCAGCUGGCUCCCAGCCUGUAGAGUACUUAGGUAGAUGGCAACAUGGGCAGGGGGCCAGGUCCCAGGACCCAUGCUCGAGAAACACAUUUGCAGACACACCCUCUGGGGCUCCUAAUUCUUUAAUCUGGGGGAGAGGUCUCCCCCUAAAACACCCACAGUGGGAAGAACCUUGGUGUCCAGAGCUACUUCCUCCUUCCCAGGUCCCCAAGCUGGGCCAGGGAAGGGACUCUGGCUGUGAGCCACAGCCCACGCCUCCCCUUGCCCUGUGAUUCAGACACCUGAGUUCAGAGCCAGCCUCCCCGAGUGUCUUCCAUCCCAACCUCCCCGUAUGAUCGAGCACUGGGGGGAGUGGGGAAAUCCCCAGGACUCAAAUCCCCAUCCCACCCUUGGUGAGGUGAGGACUCAUCCUGCUGGAAAGGCCCCUGAAGGACUUUACAGGUGGGGAAACUGACAUGAAGCGGAGUCCGAAGGGACACAGUAGUUGGGGCGGCACUGGGAUUUACAGCAAAGCUUCUUGGGCCCUUGAAAAGGACCUCAUUCCAAUUAGCUAGUGCUCCAUUUUUAAGCUUGUUGUAGGGACCAGGGGAAAAAAUAGAUAUCUGUAUUUAUAUUAUAUAUAUACAUAUAUAUAAUACACAUAUAUGUAUAAGAUCUUUAAGAAGUAGACACAUGGCCGAGCACGGUGGCUCACAUGUGUAAUCCCAGCACUUUUGGAGGCUGAGGUGGGUGGAUCAUCUGAGGUCGGGAGUUCAAGACCAACCUGGCCAACAUGGCAAAACCCCAUCUCUACUAAAAAUACAAAAAUUAGCCAGGCAUAGUGGCUCAUGUCUGCCAUCCCAGCCACUUGGGAGGCUGAGGCAGGAGAAUCGCUUGAAACUGGGAGGUGGGGGUUGCAGUGAGCUGAGGUCGCACCUCUGCACUCCAGCCUGGGCGACAGAGUGAGGCUCUGUCUCAAAAAAAGAAAAAAAGAAAGAAAUAGACACAUAUCACUAGGUUCAGGGUUCCAGAGCAUUCUAGACUCACCAGCCCUGGGCCUCCCCCUUCCUUUGUCCACUGAUCAGCCCUGUGCCCUCCAGGGUCUGGCCUGAACCCUCACCUCCUAGGUCAGCCCAGAAAUGCUGCUUCUCAAGUCCUGAGUCCGCUUCCUAGCACUGCCAAGCGUUCCACCUGGAGGUGACGAGAACUUCCAGGCUUUGGUCAUGGACAACUCUGGAACCCCGGAGCCUUACUUCCUUUUGGCAUUACAGAACCACAAGACGUCAUCUAGAAUCAUUGAGAUUCUCAACUCCAUUGGCCAAACUGGAACCAGGAAAAUCUUAGACAUCCAGAAUGGCCCCUGCUUCCUCGACUCUGUGAUCAGUCUAGACCCACAGAAUCCCGAUUCCCUUUAGACAUUCUAGAAUGGCACUUUUAAGAAAAACAACCCACCCUGUGGAUCCUUUAGAAACAUUGCUUACUCUCUUGGCUGGAUGCUCUACAGCCCAAAGACGGAGUCGUCUCAUGUCAAGAACUCCUAAUCUGUCACUUUAGCCUUUCUGAACCCACAGACUCACCCAUGUUUUGUGCAUUCUA